UGGGGAAUAUUGCACAAUGGGGGAAACCCUGAUGCAGCCAUGCCGCGUGUGUGAAGAAGGCCUUCGGGUUGUAAAGCACUUUCAGUGGGGAGGAAAAGGUGGCAGCUAAUACCUUUCAUCUGUGACGUUACCCACAGAAGAAGCACCGGCUAACUCCGUGCCAGCAGCCGCGGUAAUACGGAGGGUGCAAGCGUUAAUCGGAAUAACUGGGCGUAAAGCGCACGCAGGCGGUUAGAUAAGUCAGAUGUGAAAGCCCCGGGCUCAACCUGGGAACUGCAUUUGAAACUGUCGAACUAGAGUCUUGUAGAGGGGGGUAGAAUUCCAGGUGUAGCGGUGAAAUGCGUAGAGAUCUGGAGGAAUACCGGUGGCGAAGGCGGCCCCCUGGACAGAGACUGACGCU
rnacentral:rRNA from 1 species